ACGAACGCUGGCGGCGUGCUUAACACAUGCAAGUCGAGCGGUAAGGCCCUUUCGGGGGUACACGAGCGGCGAACGGGUGAGUAACACGUGGGUGACCUGCCUUUAGCUCUGGGAUAAGCCUGGGAAACCGGGUCUAAUACCGGAUAUGACUCCGCGGCGCAUGUUGUGGGGUGGGAAGCCUUGUGCGGCUGGAGAUGGGCCCGCGGCCUAUCAGCUUGUUGGUGGGGUGAUGGCCUACCAAGGCGACGACGGGUAGCCGGCCUGAGAGGCGACCGGCCACACUGGGACUGAGACACGGCCCAGACUCCUACGGGAGGCAGCAGUGGGGAAUCUGCGCAAUGGGCGAAAGCCUGACGCAGCGACGCCGCGUGAGGGAUGACGGCCU
rnacentral:rRNA from 1 species